rnacentral:rRNA from 1 species
AUGAAGGAGAUAAAGGUGGACAGAGACCUCCUUAAAGAAGAGAAGAAGAAGUUUGAGAAUGUCAUUGCUGAGCUCCUGAAGGUUGGUCAUGGGUGCAAGGAAAAGCUGGACAAGAUCAAGGAAGUUGUGAUGGAGGAGUGA